rnacentral:rRNA from 1 species
AACGAACGCUGGCGGCAUGCCUAACACAUGCAAGUCGAACGAGACCUUCGGGUCUAGUGGCGGACGGGUGAGUAACGCGUGGGAACGUGCCCUUUGGUUCGGAAUAGCCUCGGGAAACUGGGAGUAAUACCGGAUACGGUCGAGAGACGAAAGAUUUAUCGCCGAAGGAUCGGCCCGCGUUGGAUUAGGUAGUUGGUGGGGUAAAGGCCUACCAAGCCGACGAUCCAUAGCUGGUUUGAGAGGAUGAUCAGCCACACUGGGACUGAGACACGGCCCAGACUCCUACGGGAGGCAGCAGUGGGGAAUCUUAGACAAUGGGGGAAACCCUGAUCUAGCCAUGCCGCGUGAUCGAUGAAGGCCUUAGGGUUGUAAAGAUCUUUCAGUGGGGAAGAUAAUGACGGUACCCACAGAAGAAGCCCCCGGCUAACUCCGUGCCAGCAGCCGCGGUAAAGU